AAUGUUGUUUAUCUAUGGUAAACCCAAUUUGUUUGUGAUGGGCAUACGUCUUGCGGUUUCCUUAUGACAGUCACUGUGAAUUGUGGGUUUUUUUAAGUAUCGUUCAUAGAUGUACAGAUCUCAGAAUUUAAGAUUUCAAUUUUUCUAUCGUAAUUGGUUCUAAUGUACCCACAGAUUUUGUCAUUUUUAUAAAUGCGGUUCAUUAUUUUGUAAAUUAGAUCCGAUGCUAUGAUUCCCUUCGCGUCGUGAAUCAAGAAAUUUAGUUCGAAUAGCAACUUACAAAGAGGGUCUUUUAGUAGCUAUGUACCAGAAGACUGAGAAGAUUGAGAGAAAUCAGAGAAAGAGAAAGAGAAAGAGAAUCUAAAGAAACUUGUGGCUUCUCUGUUUCAAUAUUAAUAUUUUAUAUCGUGGUUGUCUUCACAGUAACUUACUACGUAAAUUUACAACAUUUUUAAAAUCGGUUUGUAGGUAUAGUUUUCACUGAGCAAUCGGCGGCCCCUGUUCAAAGUUUCCAUUGUCAUUUUAUAGAAGAAUAAAUAUUAUAGUAAGCUGUU